rnacentral:rRNA from 1 species
CGUUUGAAAUCUACCUCAGAUAGGGGGAUAGCCCGCCGAAAGGCGGAUUAAUACCGCAUAUGCCGGUGGCUUGGCAUCAAGCAGCCGGGAAAGGAGCAAUCCGAUCUGAGAUGAUCAUGCGUCUGAUUAGCUAGUUGGCGGGGUAGAGGCCCACCAAGGCGACGAUCAGUAGGGGACCUGAGAGGGCGAUCCCCCACACGGACACUGAGAUACGGGUCCG